rnacentral:rRNA from 1 species
ACUCAAAUGAAUAGACGGGGGCCCGCACAAGCAGCGGAGCGUGUGGUUUAAUUCGAGGCUACACGAAGAACCUUACCUGGGUUGGACAUGGUGGUAGUAAAAGGCGGAAACGUCUUUGACCGCAAGGAGCCACCACUGGUGCUGCAUGGCUGUCGUCAGCUCGUGCCGUGAGGUGUUAGGUUAAGUCCUGUAACGAGCGCAACCCCCGGUGUCAGUUAGAGCGUCUGACGCGACUGCCCGUGACAAGCGGGAGGAAGGUGGGGAUGACGUCAAGUCAGCAUGGCCUGUAUAUCCAGGGCUACACACACGCUACAAUGGUCGGUGCAAUCGGUUGCCAAGCCGCAAGGCGGAGCUAAUCCACCAAAAUCGACCUCAGUUCAGAUUGUGGGCUGCAACCCGCCCACAUGAAGUCGGAGUUGCUAGUAACCGCGCGUCAGCCAUAGUGCGGUGAAUACGUUCCCGGGCCUUGUACACACCGCCCGU